CCUACGGGAGGCAGCAGUGGGGAAUAUUGCACAAUGGGCGAAAGCCUGAUGCAGCAACGCCGCGUGAAGGAAGAAGGGUUUCGGCUCGUAAACUUCUAUCAACAGGGACGAAAGAAAUGACGGUACCUGAAUAAGAAGCCCCGGCUAACUACGUGCCAGCAGCCGCGGUAAUACGUAGGGGGCAAGCGUUAUCCGGAAUUACUGGGUGUAAAGGGUGAGUAGGCGGCAUGGUAAGCCAGAUGUGAAAGCCUUGGGCUUAACCCGAGGAUUGCAUUUGGAACUAUCAAGCUAGAGUACAGGAGAGGAAAGCGGAAUUCCUAGUGUAGCGGUGAAAUGCAUAGAUAUCGCGCAGAACCCCGAUUGCGAAGGCAGCGUGCCGUGCCGCCACUGACGCUGAGGCACGAAAGCGCGGGGAUCGAACAGGAUUAGAUACCCCAGUAGUC
rnacentral:rRNA from 1 species